rnacentral:tmRNA from 1 species
GGGGGUGAUCGGUUUCGACGGUGUGCGUCGAGCCAGGUGAAGCGGGUCGAGGAUGCGGGGUUAUCUCGUUAACGCCCUCCGCAAACCAAUAGGUGCCAAAUCUAACCGCACCGACUUCGCUCUCGCCGCCUAAGGCGGGUAGCUGAGGUCCGUCAGCCCGGGAAUGCUCCCGUCCCGGUUCCUGGCGUCAUCCAGGGGGCCAACGCCCGCGUGCCCUAGUCAUCGGGGCCGCGGGGGCAUUGAAGGUGACUGGGCCUGUCGGCGAGAUGCUUGCGUCAUCGCCGGGGCCGAGAAAAUCAGCAGCAAGCUGCGCCCGGAGAAGCCCUGGUUUACGAACAUCGGACGCGGGUUCGAUUCCCGCCACCUCCACUC